GUUGAAUCAGAUGGAGGAGUCCAGGCCAGUAUUAGAGUAGGUUGAAUCAGCUGGAGGAGUCCAGGCCAGUAUUAGAGUAGGUUGAAUCAGAUGGAGGAGUCCAGGCCAGUAUUAGCGUAGGUUGAAUCAGCUGGAGGAGUCCAGGCCAGUAUUAGAGUAGGUUGAAUCAGCUGAUGGAGACCAGGCCAGUAUUAGAGUAGGUUGUAUCAGAAUCAGCUGGAGGAGUCCAGGCCAGUAUUAGUGUAGGUUGAAUCAGCUGGAGGAGUCCAGGCCAGUAUUAGUGUAGGUUGAAUCAGCUGAAGGAGUCCAGGCCAGUAUUAGAGUAGGUUGAAUCAGCUGAUGCAGUCUAGGCCAGUAUUAGAGUAGGUUGAAUCAGCUGGAGGAGUCCAGGCCAGUAUUAGUGUAGGUUGAAUCAGCUGAAGGAGUCCAGGCCAGUAUUAGAGUAGGUUGAAUCAGCUGAAGGAGUCCAGGCCAGUAUUAGUGUAGGUUGAAUCAGUUGGAGGAGUCCAGGCCAGUAUUAGUGUAGGUUGAAUCAGCUGAUGGAGUCCAGGCCAGUAUUAGUGUAGGUUGAAUCAGCUGAAGGAGUCCAGGCCAGUAUUAGUGUAGGUUGAAUCAGCUGAUGGAGUCCAGGCCAGUAUUAGUGUAGGUUGAAUCAGCUGGAGGAGUCCAGGCCAGGCUGUUGCUGCUUAGGCGACACACUCAUUCACACCACAAGGUCAAUUUUAUACUUAUACUGAAAGCAUGGUGUUUGUGUGAUUAAUCAUUGAACACGUCUCUUAUUUUACAUGUUCCUGAUUACAUUAACACAGCACUAGCCAGACACUUCUCAGUAUUCAUCACACCUGUGUGUGUGUGUGUGUGUGUGUGUGUGUGUGUGUGUGUGUGUGUGUGUGUGUGUGUGUGUGUGUGUGUG
rnacentral:lncRNA from 1 species